rnacentral:rRNA from 1 species
CCUACGGGUGGCAGCAGUGAGGAAUAUUGGUCAAUGGACGGAAGUCUGAACCAGCCAUGCCGCGUGCAGGAAGAAGGCUCUCUGAGUUGUAAACUGCUUUUGUACAAGGGUAAACCUGAAUACGUCUAUUCAGCUGAACGUCCUGUACCAACAAGCCUCGGCUAACUCCGUGCCAGAAGCCGCGGUAAUACGGAGGAUCCAAGCGUUAUACGGAUCUAUUGGGCUUAAAGGGUGCGUAGGCGGAAUGAGAAGUUAGAGGUGAAAUGGCCGGGCUUAACUCGGGAACUGCCUCUAAUACUGUUGAUCUAGAGAGUAGAUGCGGUAGGCGGAAUGUAUGGGGUAGCGGUGAAAUGCGUAGAGA